rnacentral:rRNA from 1 species
UGAAUUGACGGGGGCCCGCACAAGCGGUGGAGUAUGUGGUUUAAUUCGAUGAUACGCGAGGAACCUUACCUGGGCUCAAAUGUAUGUUGACGUAUUCUGAAAGGGAUACUUCUUCGGACAAUAUACAAGGUGCUGCAUGGUUGUCGUCAGCUCGUGUCGUGAGAUGUUGGGUUAAGUCCCGCAACGAGCGCAACCCUCGCCCUUAGUUGCCAGCAUUUAGUUGGGCACUCUAAGGGGACUGCCGGUGAUAAGCCGAGAGGAAGGUGGGGAUGACGUCAAGUCCUCAUGGCCCUUACGGGCUGGGCUACACACGUGCUACAAUGGUGGUGACAGUGGGCAGCGAGCACGCGAGUGUGAGCUAAUCUCCAAAAGCCAUCUCAGUUCGGAUUGCACUCUGCAACUCGAGUGCAUGAAGUUGGAAUCGCUAGUAAUCGCGGAUCAGCAUGCCGCGGUGAAUGCGUUCCCGGGCCUU